rfam:Oryza nivara chromosome 2, whole genome shotgun sequence.
AAAAAGGCAAACCCUGAGUUUCCGUGUCCAACUUUGACUGUCCGUCUUAUAUGAAAUUUUUUUAUAAUUCAUAUUUUCAUUAUUAUUAGAUGAUAAAACAUGAUUAAUAUUUUAUGCGUGAUUUGUCUUUUUAAUUUUUUUCAUAAACUUUUCAGAUAAGACGGACGGUCAAACGUUGGGCACGGAAAUCAGGGUUUGUCUUUUU